CCAGCACCCCGAGUGGUCGGGACGAUUAUUGGGCCUAAAGCAUCCGUAGCCGGUUUUACAAGUCCUCCGUUAAAUCCAACUGCUUAACAGAUGGGCCGCGGAGGAUACUAUAAGACUAGGAGGCAGGAGAGGCAAGCGGUACUCAGUGGGUAGGGGUAAAAUCCGUUGAUCCAUUGAAGACCACCAGUGGCGAAGGCGGCUUGCCAGAAUGCGCUCGACGGUGAGGGAUGAAAGCUAGGGGGGAGCAAACCGGGUUAGAUACCCGGGUAGUCCCAGCUGUAAACGAUGCAGACUCGGUGAUGGACUAGCUUCAUGCUAGUCCAGUGCGCAGGGAGCCGUUAAGUCUGCCGCCUGGGUAGUACGGUCGCAAGACUG
rnacentral:rRNA from 1 species